rnacentral:rRNA from 1 species
GACGUAGGGGGCAAGCGUUAUUCGGAAUCAUUGGGCGUAAAGCGCUCGUAGGCGGAUCGGACAGUCGGUGAAGAAAGACCCGGGCUCAACUCGGGGAACGGCACCGAUACUAUCGAUCUUGAGGCAAUCAGAGGGUGAUGGAAUUCCCGGUGUAGCAGUGAAAUGCGUAGAGAUCGGGAGGAACAUCAGUUGCGAAGGCGGCUCUCUGGACCAGCACUGACACUGAGGCACGAAAGCGUGGGGAGCAAACAGG